GCCCAUAAUAAUCUAUAAUACGCUGGGGAGGCCAUUCAUUAUCUUCCCAGGCACCUAUCUCUAUGGGUCCCCUUUUCUUCCUAUGAUUCACAUCAUACACUUUAACACCUAAAGUCUCACCUAUUUCAAUAGGCAACAAGAAGAAGGAUGGUUUUAACAUACCCAACACACAUGCCCCUUCCCAGUCCUGUGGUAACUCCGAAUAGGCCUUCUUACCACAGAUCCAGUACAAAUUCGCUGGGGCUCUCCAGUUAGAUGUGAUGGAUAGAUCAAACCAUACGUCCUUUAAAUUGGCAUAUCUUGCAAACGGGUUAGAUGGUUCUGAGACAUUUGA
rnacentral:lncRNA from 1 species